rnacentral:rRNA from 1 species
CCUACGGGCGGCAGCAGUGGGGAAUAUUGCACAAUGGGCGCAAGCCUGAUGCAGCCAUGCCGCGUGUAUGAAGAAGGCCUUCGGGUUGUAAAGCACUUUCGACGGGGACGAUGAUGACGGUACCCGUAGAAGAAGCCCCGGCUAACUUCGUGCCAGCAGCCGCGGUAAUACGAAGGGGGCUAGCGUUGCUCGGAAUGACUGGGCGUAAAGGGCGCGUAGGCGGUUUAUGCAGUCAGAUGUGAAAUCCCCGGGCUUAACCUGGGAACUGCAUUUGAGACGCAUAGACUAGAGGUCGAGAGAGGGUUGUGGAAUUCCCAGUGUAGAGGUGAAAUUCGUAGAUAUUGGGAAGAACACCGGUGGCGAAGGCGGCAACCUGGCUCGAUACUGACGCUGAGGCGCGAAAGCGUGGGGAGCAAACAGGAUUAGAUACCCCAGUAGUC